CCUACGGGAGGCAGCAGUAGGGAAUCUUCCGCAAUGGACGAAAGUCUGACGGAGCAACGCCGCGUGAGUGAUGAAGGCUUUCGGGUCGUAAAACUCUGUUGUUAGGGAAGAACAAGUGCUAGUUGAAUAAGCUGGCACCUUGACGGUACCUAACCAGAAAGCCACGGCUAACUACGUGCCAGCAGCCGCGGUAAUACGUAGGUGGCAAGCGUUAUCCGGAAUUAUUGGGCGUAAAGCGCGCGCAGGUGGUUUCUUAAGUCUGAUGUGAAAGCCCACGGCUCAACCGUGGAGGGUCAUUGGAAACUGGGAGACUUGAGUGCAGAAGAGGAAAGUGGAAUUCCAUGUGUAGCGGUGAAAUGCGUAGAGAUAUGGAGGAACACCAGUGGCGAAGGCGACUUUCUGGUCUGUAACUGACACUGAGGCGCGAAAGCGUGGGGAGCAAACAGGAUUAGAUACCCUGGUAGUCCACGCCGUAAACGAUGAGUGCUAAGUGUUAGAGGGUUUCCGCCCUUUAGUGCUGAAGUUAACGCAUUAAGCACUCCGCCUGGGGAGUACGGCCGCAAGGCUGAAACUCAAAUGAAUU
rnacentral:rRNA from 1 species